AUGGCGUGUGGGCUGAGUUGUCUUCUCCUGGUGGCUGUGUUAGGAGGGGUCCAGUGUGAGGUGCAGCUGGUGGAGUCUGGGGAAAACUUGGUGCAGCCCGGGGGCUCCCUGACACUCUCCUGUGCAGCCUCUGGAUUCAACUUUAGCAACUAUGGAAUGCAUUGGGUUCGACAGGCUCCAGGGAAGGACAUAGAGUGGGUUGAAAUAAUUUAUUAUGAUGGUGGUACUAAAUACUAUGCCGGCUCUGUGAAGGGCCGAUUCACCAUCUCCAGAGACAACAGCAAGAACACGCUCUCUCUGCAAAUGAGCCGCCUGAGGGAGGAGGACACGGCCCUGUACUACUGUACGAGACACAGUGAAAGGAAGGCCCUGUGGACCCAGACACAAACCACCUGCAGGAGGAAGCAGUGUGAACUUCAAGGGAGCAGGCCCCCAGGAGGCUCUGAGGACUCUCCCCUGA